rnacentral:rRNA from 1 species
GACGAACGCUGGCGGCGUGCUUAACACAUGCAAGUCGAGCGGUAAGGCUCCUUCGGGAGUACACGAGCGGCGAACGGGUGAGUAACACGUGAGCAACCUGCCCUUCUCAUCGGAAUAAGCGUUGGAAACGACGUCUAAUGCCGAAUAUGACAACGGAUCGCAUGAUCUGGUGUGGAAAGCUCCGGCGGAGAAGGAUGGGCUCGCGGCCUAUCAGCUUGUUGGUGGGGUAACGGCCCACCAAGGCGACGACGGGUAGCCGGCCUGAGAGGGUGACCGGCCACACUGGGACUGAGACACGGCCCAGACUCCUACGGGAGGCAGCAGUGGGGAAUAUUGGACAAUGGGCGCAAGCCUGAUCCAGCAACGCCGCGUGAGGGAUGACGGCCUUCGGGUUGUAAACCUCUUUCAGCAGGGACGAAGCGAAAGUGACGGUACCUGCAGAAGAAGGACCGGCCAACUACGUGCCAGCCGCCGCAGUAAAAC